rnacentral:rRNA from 1 species
GGUGAACGCUGGCGGCGUGCCUAAUACAUGCAAGUCGAACGCACAGCGAAAGGUGCUUGCACCUUUCAAGUGAGUGGCGAACGGGUGAGUAACACGUGGACAACCUGCCCUCAAGGCUGGGGAUAACAUUUGGAAACAGAUGCUAAUACCGAAUAAAACUCAGUGUCGCAUGACACAAAGUUAAAAGGCGCUUUGGCGUCACCUAGAGAUGGAUCCGCGGUG